UUAUUAAAAAAAAAAACCCUAAAAAUCCUUAUCUCUAUCUUCUGCGCAUGAUCCAGAUUCGGUUUUGAUCCGAGCUGCCAUGGAACGUAUCAUCGGCGGCAAGUACAAGCUCGGAAGGAAGAUCGGCGGUGGUUCUUUCGGCGAGAUAUUUCUUGCUACGCACGUCGAUACUUUCGAGAUCGUUGCUGUUAAGAUCGAGAACAGUAAAACAAAGCAUCCUCAACUUCUUUAUGAAGCUAAGCUAUAUAGGAUUCUUGAAGGAGGAAGUGGUAUUCCGCGCAUAAAAUGGUUUGGAGUGGAUGGAACAGAGAAUGCUUUAGUGAUGGAUUUGCUAGGGCCAAGUCUCGAAGAUCUGUUCGUCUAUUGUGGGAGGAAAUUUUCACCAAAGACGGUUUUGUUGUUGGCUGACCAAAUGCUAACAAGAAUAGAAUAUGUACAUUCCAAAGGAUAUCUGCAUAGAGACAUAAAACCCGAUAACUUCCUCAUGGGCCUUGGUCGGAAAGCAAAUCAGGUUUAUCUAAUAGACUUUGGACUUGCCAAAAGAUAUCGUGAUGCCAACACCAACCGCCACAUCCCUUACAGGGAAAACAAGAAUUUAACAGGAACUGCACGAUAUGCAAGUUGCAAUACACAUCUUGGAAUAGAGCAAAGUCGACGGGAUGACCUAGAAUCGUUGGGAUAUGUGCUUCUUUAUUUCCUUAGAGGAAGUCUUCCAUGGCAGGGUCUUAAGGCUGUUGACAAGAAGCAAAAAUAUGAUAAAAUCUGUGAGAAGAAGAUAUCAACUCCUAUUGAGGUUUUAUGCAAAAGUCACCCUGUGGAGUUUGCUUCAUAUUUCCAUUACUGCCACACACUGACAUUUGAUCAGCGCCCUGAUUAUGGAUUCUUGAAGCGACUCUUUCGUGACUUAUUUUCGCGGGAAGGAUAUGAAUUCGACUAUAUAUUUGACUGGACUAUAAUAAAGUAUCAACAAGCACAGAAAUCUAGAAAUCAGUCUCAGGCAGUUCCUGGGUCUAGCAGCGCUCGUGCAAUGCCAGUGGACACAAUAAACCAUCGGGGAGGACCAAAUAUUUCUUAUGAAGCCGAAGCCUCUGAACGCGUCAGGUCCACUAAUGCCAUUGGUCCAAGCCCCCAGAUAAAUAAUAAUACUGCUACAGGAAGAAAUCUGGCUUUUGAUCCCAUCCACAAGAAUAUGAACAUGCCAUCUUCUUCAUUAUCUCCUGCCGGUACCUCAAAAAGAAAUGUCGGACCCGAAACUUCAAAUUCUGGGUAUGUAAGUGGGAAUAGAACGGGUGGCUGGACUUCCUCUUUCAUGUCUCCAGAGAAAUGAUGCGAAGAAAAUGUAGCUUUAGGCUGAAAUGGUGAGUGAGAUUAUGCACUAUUAAUGUGAGUCAUGCCCUUAUUGCACCUCUGCAACUAGAGCAGAAAUCAGAAGUUGGUGUCACUAACACCUUUGUAUCUCCACCUUUGGCUGGAAGAAAAGUGCAAUGCUUUGUAUGUAUAUUCUCUGAAGUGUGUGAACAAGAAGGCGUUGGCUGAAGCAUUUGUGUUUACACACACAAGGCAUCAAGUAAAUCCAGAGACAAGCUUGAGCUGAGAUGUCUUCAAAGGCUUCACAAGUUAACAACAGUGCACAGCUCAUGAAGCCAGUCAAAAAGGUCGAUUCUCGUAUUGGUUACAACCUCAAAUGUUUCUACAGUAUCAUAAGCUCGAUUUGUUGCACUCUCAUCAUCAUCAUCAUCAUCAUCAUCAUCAUCAUCCAAGGCGUGUAGUAUGCUGAAGCUGUGAUGGAAAAUGGUAACAAUACCUUAGGGCAUAGGAGUAAAAGCAAGGUUGUGUUAUAGUUCUUUUAACUAUGUUCAGUAUUGUUAUAUACUCUUUAAAAUUUGUAUUGAAAUAUUCAUUUUCUUGUUUUA